ACCCGGGUCUAUUUCUCCUUCUUCCUCGCGAGAGAGACCAGAUUUUCUGGUUCUCUCUCUCUCUCCGCACACACUCAUCUUCAAGCAACGAUUUCGUCGCCAUCCGAGGUCCGUUUUGAGUGAAAUUUGUUGCAAAAGUUUCGUAUCGUUGUGCUCUACCUAACCCAGCUCAGCUCCGACGCCAGCCGCAGCGAGAUCACCGGAAAACUCGAAGAAAGUUGCCGGUUUUGACAGAAUUUUCCAAGCUUACGUUCUCCCUCGAUUCUCCACCAAAUUGGACGAGUGAGGCUGUAGACGUGCAUCCAAGAGCCACCACAGGGCAUUCCCCGCUUCCCGUUCUUCCCCAUUUUUGAUGUAGGGUUCCUUGGUUCACAACGGUCACCUCCUUUGUAAUUAAACCUGUAUAGAUGCUCUGAGAUUGCCCUGGAACGUCUUUAACUGUUGAAACUUACUUAUUUUUGUUUACUGGCAGUUGGUGUAUAUAUUUAAGUACUUGUUGACAGGUGUAAAUUUUGGGAACGUUCAAUUUACAGGGGAGACUCUGCCGAAUUUUCGGUAGAAGUCAGGAUUUAAGGGAA